UCCUUGCUACAGAGCAGUAGAGACAGACAGCUGCCAAGCUGAGCACGCUGAGGAGACAUGCACAAACCCUUUAGUUCAAUUGGCCUUCCUCAAUCCACAGCUUCCUUGGCCCCUCAUCUGUUCUCUGAUAUCUGGGCUGCUUCCAAUUUGGAUUAUUAUAAAUUACACUGCUGUGACCAUAGGCGGGCGGAGAUGUCUUCAGACAGAGACCUUUUAAACCACUUAUUUGCAUCAGUUUCCAAAGUAUGAGGAAUAAAAUUGCCCCCUUGAGGGAGCUGGGCUGUGGUACGCCCAGUUAAGCGCCCAGAGUAUGAAGCCCAAGGACAAACACAAGGACCCGAGUUCAAGCCCCUAGCUCCCUUCCUGCAAGGAGGACACUUCACAAGUGGUGAAGCAGGUCUGCAGGUGUCUCUCUUUCUCCAUCCCUCUCUACCCCCCCGCCCAGUUUCUGUCUGUCCUGUACAAUAAAAUGG